CAUAUCAAUAAGCGGAGGAAAAGAAACUAACAAGGAUUCCCCUAGUAACUGCGAGUGAAGCGGGAAAAGCUCAAAUUUAAAAUCUGGCAGUCUCUGGCUGUCCGAGUUGUAAUCUAGAGAAGUGUUAUCCGCGCUGGACCGUGUACAAGUCUCCUGGAAUGGAGCAUCAUAGAGGGUGAGAAUCCCGUCUUUGACACGGACUGCCAGGGCUUUGUGAUGCGCUCUCAAAGAGUCGAGUUGUUUGGGAAUGCAGCUCAAAAUGGGUGGUAAAUUCCAUCUAAAGCUAAAUAUUGGCGAGAGACCGAUAGCGAACAAGUACCGUGAGGGAAAGGUGAAAAGAACUUUGGAAAGAGAGUUAAACAGUACGUGAAAUUGCUGAAAGGGAAACGCUUGAAGUCAGUCGCGUUGACCAGGGAUCAACCUUGCUUUUGCUUGGUGUACUUUCUGGUUGACGGGUCAGCAUCAAUUUUGACUAUUGGAAAAAGGUCAAGGGAAUGUGGCAUCUUCGGAUGUGUUAUAGCCCUUGGUUGUAUACAAUGGUUGGGAUUGAGGAACUCAGCACGCCGCAAGGCCGGGUUUUUAACCACGUACGUGCUUAGGAUGCUGGCAUAAUGGCUUUAAUCGACCCGUCUUGAAACACGGACCAAGGAGUCUAACAUGCCUGCGAGUGUUUGGGUGGAAAACCCGAGCGCGUAAUGAAAGUGAAAGUUGAGAUCCUUGUCGUGGGGAGCAUCGACGCCCGGACCAGACCUUUUGUGACGGUUCCGCGGUAGAGCAUGUAUGUUGGGACCCGAAAGAUGGUGAACUAUGCCUGAAUAGGGUGAAGCCAGAGGAAACUCUGGUGGAGGCUCGUAGCGAUUCUGACGUGCAAAUCGAUCGUCAAAUUUGGGUAUAGGGGCGAAAGACUAAUCGAACCAUCUAGUAGCUGGUCU
rnacentral:rRNA from 1 species